rnacentral:tRNA from 2 species
GCCGGUUUAGCUCAGUUGGUAGAGCGCCUGCCUUGUAAGUAGGAUGUCAGCGGUUCGAGUCCGUUAAUCGGCACCA